UAAUAGGGUCUGAAACCCAAGCCUAUUAAUGAACAAAGUUACCUGUAUGCAAAGUUAUUUUGUGUCUAUUGGUUAGGAUCUCACUUUCCUCUCCUGGUGACAAAAUAUUUCUAAAUGUACUAAUUCUGGUUGGUCAAGUAUACCAUGCCCAGUGUAUAAUCAGGUAGCAACAGUAAUCCAAUUGGUCAACACAUUGGCCAAGCAUGUAAAUUAAACAUGACUCAGAGAUACCAAGAAAUAGGAGAUACCACAAAGUUAUCCCACUUGGCAUCAGAAGACAAAGGAAAGUUCCACAGUCAAGACGUGUUCACCAUUUUGUUAUAAAACUUGAAGAAAAUUGCAUAGAUUUGGAGGUCAAACAAUUGGUGAGUUGAAAUUAUAUUAUUUGUAUAGUUAUACAUAUUUGUACUGAUAAUCUCGUACUAGUUAAGGGACUUUCUUCUGUAUUUAAAUCAUAAAUAUUGUUGUUUGUCAUGAAGUUGUGAUGACUGCAUCUCAGUCGAGUAUAUAUACUACUCCGCCUAAUGUUAUAUAAUACUUCUUUAAGUUAAGAAGGGAGAAAUUCUGGUUCUGAUUGUAAUAAUGUAUAUGAAUUAAUGCAUCUCUCUUAUGUGUAAUUAAGUUAAUAGACAUUACAUUACUCUGAUUAUUAGUAUUCGAUAUACAUGUAUUAGUAAUUCUAAAUGAGGUUUCCUAAGAGGAUUGCUAGAGUGAGAGAGACGGAGAGAGAGAGAGAGAGAGAGAGAGAGAGAAAGAGAAAGUUUGACCAUAUACGUGCACACACACAAGUGCACCUACUAUUAAGUCUUUGUUCUGGAGUGUACAGAUUUGUCAAUGGGCAAAAGUUGUGGCUAGGCUGUCAACUUGACGGUUGCCAUGGGUACGAAGUUCUGACCAUGACUGGGGUUUGUUUACACAACCGCUUGUGUUUAGUAGUAUUAGGAUUAAAGUUAGUAUCGAUUUAUCUUUGGUAUAUGAUGAGUUUAAGUUCAUAUUUUAGUUAUUAUGUUGUAUCAUCAUUGUAUAUAUACCUGAGCGAUAUGUAUUAGCUUGUUAUAGUCUUGUUUAUAUUUUACUAGUUGUCAAGAAGAUAUUCUGUUGUCGUUAGUUGUUUGACAAUGAUUGUUAAUCAUGUAUUUAUCAUGUGUUUAUCUUCUUUCUUAUAUUUCAGCAAACCACUCACUCACUCAAUACACUCGCUUACUACACUCAGUUCAUUUACUAGCUUCGUUCACUACACUGUUCACUAUUCUGUACAAUUGUUCGUCGUUUAAUUAUUCAUCUGUAUACUUCAUUUACGCUCAACUCCGUCAAGUUAUUAAACUGUUUACAUCUUUCGCUUAUGAUUUGUAAACUGCUUCGAUACUUGGAGAAUUGUUGAUUGCUGUGAUUAAAUGAAGCAUAACUGUAUGGAAUUGUGUUCCUGAACUGUUUAUUUCGAGUGCGUUCGGAAUAUCGACCAUCAAAUUUAUAACUACCAUCCUACUUUAAACUCCUGUGGCUUAAUUUGUUUACAGAAGUCACAUAAGUUUGCAAUUGCCAGACAAUAAUAAGGAUGGCAGAUUCAGAUUUUUCAAAUGAUGAUAACGUCACUUCGCUGAAGCAUUCAUGUAGGGGAUACAUAGGGACAUUAUCCCGACUCUACAAGGAACUAGAGGUUUUAAUGGCAGACUUCGAAAAGAAGGACGCAGUCGUGCAAAGGCAUCUCCAACUCGAAAGGGUAUUCACCUCGUACAAGGAAAAAAGCGAUGAAUACAUAAGCGAGUUGAGUGGAGCAGAAGCGGAGGCUGCGUCAGAGAAAUUCGAGAGAAAUGUCGAGAACAAUCGAGAGUUCCGAGUCAGACUACAAGAUUGGAUGGAAGCAGCGGAGAAAAGAGUUGACGUGGGAGGUCGGUCAGCCGACGUUGACGGCGACGUCGAUGACGACAGGCGGUCAGUGCGGUCUUCUCGAUCGUCGAGUAGCAAGGCAUCGCGGUUCACCGUAGCGAGCUCGACAUCGUCAGCACGACUGCGAGAAGCAAGAGCCAAGGCGGCUGUUGCACGCCUCAAUAGACAGCACAUGGUAAAGGCCCAUGAACUUAAGCAAGAACAAUUGAAGCUUGAACAGAAGCUUGCGGCGAUGGAAGCCGACAAGGACAUCGCAGCUGCUGAAGUUGAGCUUCAGUGUCUUGAGGAAGAAUCGGACGAUGAAUGUCAAGUAAGAGUAGAUAAGUCAAUUAAGGUACAUGUUAAUGACUCUACCUUUAAUGAUGUCAAAACAAGGGAUAAUAGAUAUUCUCUUGAUGAAGCUGCACAUGUCCCCAUGGUAACAAAUUUGAAUCCAAAUGCCCCAGAAUACACUGGGAAAGGGGUAAAAGUAGAAAGUGUCAAGGGGGAUGGUGCAGCCAUUUCUAACAUGACUCAAAUGUUUAACGCUAUGGACUUAGUGAUGAACAUGCCAAAGCCGGAAAUGAAAGUAUUCGAUGGUAACCCAUUAGAUUAUUGUGCCUUUAUUUCCAGCUUUGACGCCACUGUAGCUUCUAAGAUAAGUGAUGAUAGGGCUAAGCUAACGUAUUUAAUACAAUACUGUAGUAGUAAGGCUAAGGAUAGCAUUGAAAAUUGUGUCUUCCUAGGGUCCCAGACCGGAUACCAAAAGGCAAGGGAUAUUCUAGAAAAUCAAUUUGGGCAGCCAUACAUGGUUGCCACUGCUCACAUGAAAAAGGUGCUAAGUCGUCAGCCCAUCAGACCAAAUGACGGUGAAGCACUAUGGGACCUUGCUCGCGGCAUGAGGAAAUGUCAGAUGGUUUUGUCGCAAGGAAAUUAUCGAGCCGACAUGGAUAGCACAGAAAACCUUCUGCGCAUCCAACAGCUCUUGCCGGUCCACUUGCAGUCCGAGUGGGCAAGGAGGGCGCACUCAAUGAUGACCAGGUUCAUGGCUCCAACGUUUGAAGCCAUGACUAUGUUCAUUGAGGAGUCUGCCCAGUUAUCAAGUAAUUUGUUUGGCCAAAACAUUGGCAAAUCGAAAAACAAACCAUCUGACAAAUCCUCAAAGCCAAAAGGAGGGUUCAAGGUAACAACAAUGUCGACUCAGAGCAACCCCACAGCUGGUAAAGGUAAGUCUAAAGCAAAGAGCGAUAGAAGUUGUCUUUGCUGCUCUGGGCGGCAUAACCUAGAGGACUGUAGGAACUUUGUCAAGAAAUCCUUCGAAGAGAGGAGGAACAUUACCAGGAAGCACAAGUUGUGUGAUAACUGCUUCCGACCUUCACAUAUGUCGUCCGGAUGCAUGAUGAAAUCUAGAUGUACUGAGAAGGGAUGCCAACGGAAGCAUCACACCCUUCUUCAUGCUCCUGCAUCCUUCUUCAAGGAAAGAAAACUUGACAAAGCUAACCCCAAGAAGUCUAGCAAUUCCCAAGAAUCCAACUCAGACACCGGGGCCGGUAGUUCAGAUGAAGAAGCCUCUAGCAGAGAAGCGGGCGACUGUUACAGCAGUGUAACUUCACAAAGAAAGGUAAGUCUAAGGGUCUUGCCGGUGAAGGUCCAAGGUAAUGGACGUGAAGUACAGACAUGGGCCUUACUGGAUGAAGGGAGCGAUAUAUCAAUCUGCUCCAAGGAUUUGGUAAGAGACCUUGGGAUGACAGGGUCACCACGGCGAAUUCAACUCACAACUGUCAAUGGGGUUGAUUCCCAGCAAGGUGAAGAGGUCAGCCUCAAGGUCAGGGAUAUCCAUGACAAGGAAGAGUUGGAUAUUCCACGUGUCUGGACAGUGAAGUCCUUACCGCUUUCCGAUUCUCUGAUUCCAGACAACAAGGACCUUCUUAAGUGGAGACACUUAAGAGGUAUUGAGUUCCCAUCGAUCGACGCAAGGGAGGUCAAGCUUCUCAUAGGAGCCGACACCCCUGAAGCGUUUUGGGUCCUGGAACAGAGGAGAGGGAAAAGGAAGGAACCUUAUGCGAUACGCUGCCCUCUAGGUUGGACGCUAAUGGGGCCAACCACAAAGUCUAAGGAAACUACAGCCUUCCAUGUGAACUUUGCCCGGCUAGAAGAUGAAAGACUUCAAGACCAGGUCAAGAAGUUCUGGGAGUUGGACCAUGUGGUUGAGGAUAAUCCAGGGAGGAUGGGAGAGUCCAUCCAAGACAUGCGAGCGAGAGAACUCAUGCGGGAAAGUAUCAAGCUCGUCGAUGGCCACUACGAGGUAGGGCUACCCUGGAAGUAUCCAGACCCCGGACUUGAGAACAAUCGCCAUAUGGCUGAAGUCCGUCUCAAGUACUUGGAAAGGAGGCUUAAGAAGGAUUCUAAUCUAGCCGUCAAGUACACGGAGACUGUCCAAGGUUAUAUAGAGAAGGGAUAUGCGGAGAAGGUACCAAGACAGAAGAAGGAAGCAAAUCUUCAGACUUCCUGUAUAUGGUAUCUCCCUCAUCAUCCGGUCGUUCAUCCUCACAAACCUGACAAGGUAAGAGUUGUGUUCGACUGUGCAGCAAAGUAUCGUGGAACUUCACUAAAUGACACAUUGCUGCAAGGACCCGACCACACCAAUAGCUUAGUUGGUGUACUCCUGCGAUUCAGGCAGGAACCUGUGGCAGUUGUUGGUGACGUAGAGGCAAUGUUUCAUCAGGUAAAGGUGCCGAAGAAAGAUUGCGAUGCUCUCCGCUUCCUAUGGUGGGAAAAUGGUAACCUGGCCACAGAACCGGUAGAGUAUCGAAUGAAGGUGCAUCUUUUUGGUGCAACGUCAUCACCAAGCUGCGCAGGAUUUGCUCUUAGAAGAACUGCAGAAGAUAACCGACAUGAAUAUGACGAAGACGUCGUCAACACAGUGCUGGACAACUUCUAUGUCGAUGACUGCCUCAAAUCAGUACCCUCUGACAAAGAUGGGGUGAGGCUAGUCCAGCAACUGAGAGGUCUUCUGCAGAAAGGAGGAUUCCGCUUAACAAAAUGGGUAAGUAAUAGUAGAGAAGUGCUUAACUCAAUACCUGACACAGAAAAGGCUCCAUCUGUAAUUGAUAUGGAUCUGGAUACUCUCCCAAUCGAGAGAACGCUAGGAGUGUUGUGGGAUGUCGAUUCCGACAGGUUCGGCUUUAAGGUGAGUCUGAAGGACAGACCUGCAACCAGGCGAGGGAUACUGUCUAAGGUAAGCUCUUUAUACGACCCCCUUGGGUUCCUAGCACCUUUCAUCUUGGUAGCCAAGGUUCUUCUGCAAGGCAUCUGCCAGAAAGGUCUAGCAUGGGAUGAACCAGUGGAUGAAAAGGAUCUCCAGACCUGGCAAGAAUGGCUUGAUGAUCUUCCCAGACUGACAGAGAUAAAGAUACCAAGAUGUCUCAAACCAGAAAUACUUGAAGAUCAAGUACUUUACCAGCUCCACUAUUUCUGCGAUGCAUCAGAGCUUGGGUAUGCAGCUGUGGCUUACCUACGCUUAGAGGAUUCUGCUGGUCGCAUACAUUGCUCAUUUGUUUGUGGUAAGUCUAGACUCAGUCCCUUGAAGGUCACCUCAAUACCAAGGCUUGAAUUGGCAGCAGCUGUACUAGCUGUUGACAUGAAUCACAUGAUUCAAGAGGAAUUAAGGUUACCGAUUGCUACCACAACGUACUGGACAGAUUCAACUUCUGUUCUCAUGUACAUCCAAAAUGAGAGCCGAAGGUUCCAUACCUUUGUAGCAAAUAGAGUUGCUAAGAUUCGUGAGGUAACAGAACUGAGCCAGUGGCGACAUGUGAACACUAAACUCAAUCCAGCUGAUGAUGGAUCGCGAGGUUUGAAGGCUCAGGAUCUUAUCACGAAUCCAAGAUGGCUCUCAGGACCCGACUUCCUCAAACAAGAGGAAGAAAACUGGCCAUCUUCUCCAGCCAUCUUGGGAGAACUGAAGAAGGAUGACCUGGAAGUAAAGAAAGACAGAGUUCAUGUGAACACUGUCGUAACAAAUGACAGUGUGCAAGAACUGUUGACCAGGUAUUCAUCCUGGAAUAGACUCAAAAGAGCCUUCGCUUGGGUACUUCGGUAUAAGAUGUUCUUGAGAAAUCGAGAUGCAGCAGCAAGGCUACCUCGAGGACUCACUGCAGAGGAAUUGAAAGAGGCUGAACUUGAAAUUACUAAACAAGUUCAGCUGAGAUCAUUUCCUUCAGAAGUGAUGACUGGAUCAGGGGAACCAACAAGGCGGCAAAAGGCCUCAGGUCCUCUGGACAAACUGAAUCCCAUCAUCACUGGUGGAGUACUGAAAGUUGGUGGUAGACUUUCAAGAUCUACUCUUGCAGAAGAUGCAAAACACCCUGCUAUACUCCCAAGAGAUAAUCAUGUGACUGACUUGAUUAUCCAACACUAUCAUGAAGAGGUUGGGCACUCAGGAGCGGUCAUAACCUUAUCAGCCAUAAGAGAAAGGUUCUGGAUAGUCAGAGGAGGAGCCACUGUUCGCAAGGUACUUCAAAGGUGUAUGAAGUGCAAAAGGAGAAGUUCCCGUCGAGGCGAACAGUUCAUGGCAGAUCUUCCAGCUGAGAGAGUGACACCAGAUAAACCACCGUUCACCUCUACAGGGGUGGACUUCUUUGGGCCUUUCAUGGUUAAGAGGGGACGCAGUGAGGUGAAGAGAUAUGCAUGUCUAUUGACUUGUCUUGCGUCAAGAGCCGUUCACAUAGAGAUUGCCUGUUCUCUUGACACAGAUUCAUUCAUUUGCGCCCUGAGAAGAUUCAUCAAUCGCAGAGGAAAACCGGAUCAGGUAUUCAGCGACAAUGGAACAAACUUUAAGGGCGGACAUAAAGAAUUGAAGGAAAGUCUGGCUGCACUCAAUGACUCUAAGGUUGGGAAUUUCUUAACCCAAAAGGGCAUUGAGUGGCGCUUCAAUCCUCCUCUAGCCAGCCAUAUGGGAGGAGUGUGGGAACGUGUAAUACGCUCAGUGCGCAAAAUACUAGGAGGCCUACUUCAUCAACAAGUUAUGUCGGAUGAGGCAUUAGUUACGCUGAUGACGGAAGUAGAGGCUAUCCUAAACGCACGCCCACUCACCCCAUUGAGCAUGGAUCCAAAGGAUGAGGAGCCUUUGACCCCAAACCAUCUCCUGCUAUUGAGGAAUAAUCCAUCCUUGCCACCCGGCAUCUUCACAAAGGAUGAAAGCUAUGGCAGAAGGAGAUGGCGCCAUGUCCAAUUCAUCGCGGAUCAGUUUUGGAAGCGAUGGGUUAAGGAAUAUCUUCCACUCCUUCAACCGAGACAGAAAUGGACCAGGGAAAAAAGAAACUUCGAACAAGACGACCUCGUCUUGGUGGCGGACGAUAAUGCACCUCGUGGGCAGUGGCCUUUGGGGAAAAUUGUGGCCACUUAUCCAGACAAGCAAGGUAGGGUAAGGCAGGUCGAGGUUAGGAUAGGUUCAAAAUAUUUCCGGCGUCCAAUUUCAAAACUUUGCCUUUUGGAGGAAGGGAAGGGUGCUCCCUAAAUAAUGGCAAAUUAUUUAAUGUUGUAGUAAAUAAUAGUGAAUGCUAUUUAUUCUGAGUUUUGUUUUCUGGGUCCCAAUAUUUAAUUGUGAUUUAGAUAUGUAUGUAGAAAGAUAUAGCUACAGGUCAUUGAUUGUUUGAAGUCAUUUGGAUAUGUAUUCUAGUUGAUUAUUGUUAUAAUGUUAUGUUUGUUUUGUUCAUACUUGUAUUGUUUAUAUAUGCCGCGUUCUAAUGGUAGGAAUGAGCUUAUGGGUGAGUCAGCUCAUUGGGGCCGGUAUGUUGCGGCAUGAAAUAUAAUAGGGUCUGAAACCCAAGCCUAUUAAUGAACAAAGUUACCUGUAUGCAAAGUUAUUUUGUGUCUAUUGGUUAGGAUCUCACUUUCCUCUCCUGGUGACAAAAUAUUUCUAAAUGUACUAAUUCUGGUUGGUCAAGUAUACCAUGCCCAGUGUAUAAUCAGGUAGCAACAGUAAUCCAAUUGGUCAACACAUUGGCCAAGCAUGUAAAUUAAACAUGACUCAGAGAUACCAAGAAAUAGGAGAUACCACAAAGUUAUCCCACUUGGCAUCAGAAGACAAAGGAAAGUUCCACAGUCAAGACGUGUUCACCAUUUUGUUAUAAAACUUGAAGAAAAUUGCAUAGAUUUGGAGGUCAAACAAUUGCAAACCACUCACUCACUCAAUACACUCGCUUACUACACUCAGUUCAUUUACUAGCUUCGUUCACUACACUGUUCACUAUUCUGUACAAUUGUUCGUCGUUUAAUUAUUCAUCUGUAUACUUCAUUUACGCUCAACUCCGUCAAGUUAUUAAACUGUUUACAUCUUUCGCUUAUGAUUUGUAAACUGCUUCGAUACUUGGAGAAUUGUUGAUUGCUGUGAUUAAAUGAAGCAUAACUGUAUGGAAUUGUGUUCCUGAACUGUUUAUUUCGAGUGCGUUCGGAAUAUCGACCAUCAAAUUUAUAACUACCAUCCUACUUUAAACUCCUGUGGCUUAAUUUGUUUACAGAAGUCACAGGUAUAAAUUCUAAAAAUUUGUUGGCCAUGAUUUGUUGGAUAUAAACCAGGCUGAAACUACCCCCUGCACGAGUUUAACUUUUUGAGAAUUUAUUGCCACUCUUAGACACGGGCCUAUGUGUUUUAUGUGUUCAAGCAAAAAUCGCAUCAAAACGAAUAUCAAGAUGGAGGCUGAGAAAAAAAGGAAAACCAAUUUCACUGGAGGAGAGAAAAUCGCUUUGAUAGCCGAAAUAAGAGAGAGGGAAGAAAUCUUGAGACCCAAGCUUAAUUCAAGUAUCACGUUAAAGGAUAAAGAAAAGGCGUGGGCUGAAAUUGCCUUGAAACUAAAACAAUUAAGACAACUCACAACUGUCUUAAAGUUAGGGCUAAAUUCUUAGCCAUGUUGUAUUUAUGAAAUACAGACUCUGCAGUUUUAAGAUAAGUUACUUAGCCAUUCUUCCUAUAUCUGUCUUAGUCGCCAAUUCUUUAUGGAAUACGCGUUUUGGCUAAGAAUUUUGUCUUAGACAGAAAAUAAGACAAAAUGCUUAGAUUUUUUACUUAAGCAUGCUUAUCUAGUUUAUGGAAUACGGGCCCUGAUCAUACAUUUUAUAAGCAAUGGAUGAUUUGCCCCCUCCCUAUUACAAAACAGUCCUUACAAGUAUGCAUAUGUUGCAAAAGCCCUCGUAAAAUUCUAUUAGCUUCAUCACAAAAUAUAAUUUUUGAUGUCAUAAAAGUUUUUAAAAAGUGCUUUGUGCAGAAUAUUUUCAUUUCUCCUCUUGAUUUGCUCUAGGUAUGCUGUAAGUACAGUUUAAGUUGGCAUCUGAUUGCAAACUUAUUUCAAAGUGCCCUUUUUCAACUAAUGGAGUUAUCAGUUUUGAUAGUCAAUAAGUCUCAUAAUUUAAUAACAUAAUGAGUCUUUUUUCUUCUGACCGAAAUUUUAGAUGAUUUUUAUCAUAGAGAAGAAAAAUAGACACUGGAAUUAGCUAUUACUUCAUGAAAUCACAGCCAUUUCUCUGAGGGAAAUAUGAUUUUAAACAAAUUAUGGUUAUAUUAUACUUAUGUGAAUUGCAAUUUUCAUUUCAUUUUCGAUUGCCUGUACCCCCAUAUAAAACCUCAACCUAUUUUACCUACUGCCCUCUUGCUGUGUUUCCUCUGUAGUGUUUUCACUCUAGUGAUAUCUGAAAGAAAUACAUCAAAUAGGAGCUCAAUCCUUUUCCUUCCUUCUGUGAAUUUAACCAAAUUGAUUUAUAAAUGGCAUGGUUUCAAAAGUUCAUUAAAGUGAUAUUACAACUGUGGGAAAGGUGAAAAGAGUAAUUUUUUAACUUUCAAAUUAUUUUUAUGACAUUUAGUGGGAAUAUCAUAGAACAUCAUUCACUUCAAAGGAUGACUCUGUUUACAUUGUCUCACAUUCAACAUUUGGGCUAUUAUUUAUUUGUGUGUAGUACCAUGCAUUUAUUGUAAAUGUGUUGUGUGUAUGUGACUUGCAGGCUUGUGGUGAAAUUAAAAAGUUGCAGGAAACAUCGGUAUUAAAGGUGUUUAAGAAUUCAAGAAACAGCCUUCCCCAUUAACUUAGAAACAGAUUAUUUUCAAAUUCAAAUAACUAGAACUUAAUGUUAUAUUGAAAACACCAUUGUUCGAUAUUUGAAGGACAAAGGAAGGUAGAUAGUUGAGAUAACAAUUAAUAGAAAAUAAGAUGGGCAAAAUUAGGGAUUUAUUAUGAAAUAUUGAGCGUUAUCCUAUUACAAGAUCAGUACAAGGUGUGUUUGGUACUUUUCUAUCUUGUAGAUUCAGUAAGAUAUAAAUCUUAUGAAAUUAAUGUAAUGAAACAAAGGGAUUAAUCCCCAGGGAUCAAAGGGGGGGGGGGUCACUUAGUAUAAAUGUAUGAUACAUAUGUGCCAUGGUUGAGACCCCCCUUUUCAGCCUAAAUUUCUGUUCCAGUCUUCCAGAGCAUCACCAAUACAGAAAGCCAUAGAUAUUCCUAUUUUUUCCAUUCCGGAGACCCUAAAAUUUGUGAUUUCCCAUUCCAGUGCGUGCCCAUCAUGAACUACUCAGCUGGACGGAGCGGCGAGCUCGAUCGGGGCAGAGCCUUGUAUGCCGGGCCGCGGAAGCUUAGUCUGCAGGCAAAGACCCAGAUUGAAACUUUGAUCAACAAGUGUGUCUCCACGCAAAGACGAGCACAUACAAAACUUGGUGUUUCAAUUCAGGAGGCCUUCAGUACACAAGGCAUGAGUAGGCUGCACAUUCAGACCCUUAACUCGAGUGAAGGGUUUGCACAGCAGACCAGCCGAAGCUCUCCUUGAUUACAUCCAAAAGAAUUAAAUAACUGAGUAAACACUAUUUACUUCCGUUUGAUUCCUAGUACAUGUCCUUCCUGAAAACAUACAUGUAUGUGUUACAACCAAAUGAAUGUUAAAGCUGUGGUACAUGUACCUAACAACUGUUAUAACUGAUUGCAGGGAUCCACAGUAACCCUUUUUUCUUCUCCUGGUCCAACCUGUUCAUGUCAAGCAAGUAGAUACCAAGUUUUUUUGUUUCAUUUUUACUGGUCCGAACCUAAAAUUACUGGUUCCCCGAAAAUAAAGAAAAGUAUUUUUAAAAAGACUUCAAGUUUAUUUUGCUGUCUUUUAUUGCUUCCUAAAUAAGCCAUACAAACAAACAGUAGGCCGUCUCAUACACACACAACAUAAAUCAUGAGAGCCAUUUCUCAAUUUUAGAGAUCUAAUUUUUAAGACACCUGCAUGCAGAGCCGUUUUUAUAAUUUGCAAAGAGGAGAAAAUAUCAAUUGUAUCAGUUUGAUAUAUUUUUUUACUAGUCUGACAAGACCAGUAAAUCUGGCUAUUUCUGAAAAGUUACUGGCCCGACAGUAAUUUUACUGGUCUGGGGCCGGUCUUCGGUCGGCCAGUGUCGUGCUCUACUGAUUGUGAUGUAUUACUAAGUAUUUAAAGGAGCAGCUAGGAUAUCUAGUAAUACAUGUUUACGUCAAUUCCAUUAUAAAUGUAAUUGAUACUGAGAUAACUAUCAAGUUUCAUUAACUGCUGUAGAUAAUAUAUCACUAACAAACCCUCUAUUACAGGCGCAUGAAUGUGGGCCAAAACUAAUUUCCCCAGACAUACUAAAUGGCCCUUGUAAUACAAUAAAUUGAGAUUUCUGUAAAUUGGGUUCAACACAUAAUGCAAUUUGAAAUGAACAGAAAUAUAAAGAUAUUAGUUGUACAGAAGUUGUUUCUAACAGUUUCCCCUGUCAACCGUCAAGUUUGCCACAUUUCUUGAAUGCUAAAAUACAAAUUACAAGUACACUGUACAUAAAAGGAAGAUGGAAUUGGCUCUUUAAAAUAAGUUCAAUGUGAUGUUAAGUUGCCUUAGCAAUCUAAUCUUACUCAACGUGAGUGAACGUAACACCUGAGCUAGCCAGCUUGGCCUUGAUGAAGGAGGUUGGAUACAUCUCUUGGGAACUGUAAGAAGUUUGUAGCUACGCCUCCUUCCAAUGAUUCACAUGCAAUGAUUGAAAUGAGAACUGAAUUGCCACUCCCACUGAUAGAAAUACACUGUUGUACUCGUAACAUAUACAUGGCUUUACACCAUGAAGGCAAUGGCCUCCUGCCAGAAUUACACUUAAAAUGAUAUUAGGGGGAUUAAAAAGGUAUACAUUUUUUAUUUCUUCUCUGUCCAACAGUUGUUAGAACUGUACAUUUUGUAAAUGGGCAAGACACUAAUUUCCUUAGACCAUCUAUAAGUGACAUCACUAGAGCAUAACUGGCGUAAAGGGUAUCUUGCUCAAGUAAACAGGAAUCCUGACAAAAAUUAUGAUAAUGUUCAUAAUUUUAAAACAUGAACCUCAUCAAACACAUUACAUUAUCUGGCAUUUCCACAAUAUGCUAUUAAAAAGUGUUUAAAGAAAUGUUUUGAUUGUCAGUACAAUCUAUUCUUGUUUCACUGUAAAAUCACUGUAAAUUUGUUUAAGCACGUUGUUUAAGCCCAUCACUCUGUACUGUUUAAACUUAUCAAACAUGUUUAAAAAGUUUAAACAAUCACAAAAAGUUUAAGCAACUUGUUAGGUUGACAGGAUUAAGUUCCCAUGCUAUUUUUUUUUACUGUGUUGUUGGCUGAGACAUAUUUUAAAAAAGAACACUACUUUUGAAUGGAUUUGUUGAAAUUAUCAUACAAAAUUUACAUGGUGCUUAAAGAAAUACUCUAUUCAUUUUAUGAAUUUGAUGGUUAACUCAAGGACAUCGCUGGGACCGAAUGAAGAAAGAAUUGCAAUCAACACGACUCCAUAAACCAAUGCAACUUAGUUUAAAUCUAUAAUAAGGAGUGUAUUAAACUUGUGUUUGAGUUUUGUGUGGUUCCCAUAAAAGCUAGGUCUCUUAUGUUGUAUUAGAGACUGUUGUUAAAGCCAUUUUGUUAGAUGCUAUCAUUGCGCAAGCAAAUGUGAUUAUUUAAUUAGUAUCCCUUCUAUGAAUAUUCAUGAGUAUUCUAAGUAAAUGAAUGGUCAGUUGUUGCUCAGUGAUAAGAAUAAUUUUACACUAUAUUUUCCGGGGUAGCUUUAUCAUUCAAAUACCAGUCCAACCUUGGUCAAAUGAUUACCGUACCUCUACGUGUAUUUUCUCAAAGCCUGGUAUAUAUUAUCGGAACUCCCAGUACGUUUAAGGGAUUUUUUUUUGUUUAAAGAUGGGCACUACUUUGAUAUUGUGUGAAACAUUUUGGCUUAAUAAUCACUUGUUACAGAACAUAGUUUACAUUUCAAUAGUGCAGUAGCUUUUUAAUUAUACAGGUUUAACCUUGUUUGGCUUAAUUAAGUAUUAUCCUAUCAUCGAGUCUGGCACCUUUCCCAUGGGAAAGCAUUGUUCACACUAGCAAUGGGGACAAAUCUCAGCAACGUUUUAUGUACAAAAUCAAUAAGAGGAUAUAAAUGCACUUUAGACCAAUAAAGUGCUUUAAAAUUAACAAAAAAAGUGUGAUAUCUCAACUGACUUUGACGAAUUCUAUUUGAAAGUUGAUGCAUAAAAUGAUGUGGAUUCAUUUGGAACUUGCAAGUGGAGCAGUUGUCACUUUCUAUGUCUGAGCAAAAAUUUAUCUGAGCAUUGCCGCGCUUGUCUAAACACACCUUAAUGAGUAGUUGAUGGAGGAGUGAGAAAUAUUAAGAAAUUCCCAACCAUGGUCCAUUUUCAAAGAAUUGAAUUCAUAAUGUAUGAGUACUCUUGAAAUAUGAAUACUUUAAUAUGAAUGAAGAUUAUAAUUAGGAACAUUGAGGCUGGAAUUAAGAAGAUAAGAAUUGAUGUAAAGCAGUUUUUGUAUUACUUUUUUCCAUUAUACACUAUAGUUUAUAUAAAGUGGAAAGAAACUCCUCCUAGCCCACGCAAUGCCAUCUUGUAGAUCCUUAUAGAAUAUUGCAUAGAUGACCCAAUUAAAGAUUGUAUCUUGGAUUGAGAUGCUCAUGCAAACACCACAAGCCCUCUUUUAUAUUACAUGAUAGACUUCUUUAUGAAGUGUUUGAAUGCCUACUGGAUACCAUUAUAGCAUGGACCUAUUACGAAUGGACAUUCAACGAGAGCAUUUUAUGACCACCACCUGUUUCCAGCUGUCAAAAUUGCUGUCUAACCCUUAACUUUCUCUUUACGCGGUUUUUACAACGACCGCCCGGGGUGAUUGUUUACACAAGCUCCUUUCGCCCGAUGAUCGUCACCGAUCGAUCACUGGCCCUCUUUCGACCAAAGACGGUCAUGUUGUAGCCCCGAUUGCCAAUAGGGAAAGUCCUUACAUUACCUAGAAUGCAAUGCGCAAUUCAUAUCCGGUUUUUCAGUACAUUAUUUUAGGCUCUCUAUAAUGUGCGAUUGUCGUCUGUCCAUCAAAAAAAAUCCCGUUAAAUUUCAUCAAUCCUGUGGAAUUUUAUGCCCAAAUGAAAAUCAACUUCUGACCGAAGGUAAGCGCUACUAUCGACAUCGAUACUGUCCGAAAAAGCUGAGAUUUUAACGUUUUUCCGCAGAUUUUUUCGUCGAAUUUCAACUGCUUUUUUGCCGUAGAUAUACGGAUCUGCAAGGUGAUGUCAAUGCAUUUCAUUUCCGGUUGUUAGCGAUGUACGUAAAAAAUACGUUUAUGCACGCCUGUUUUCUUGUUUCUGCUAUCAUUUUCAUAGCGCUAACGUUCGAUGCUGUGCGUUGCUUUUGAUAAAGUGAACGAACAACAUCGCAAUGGGUAGGAGCAGCGUACAAUUGAUUUCCGCUGUCAAUCAGUGAGAGCAUGUUUUACGACCGGCUUGAUGGGUGUCAGCUGCCAGCGCUCUGUUUAUAAAAGGAUUAGCGGCGACGGUCUCUGUGUCAAAGGAGGGGAUUCGUUGAAUGUCCAUUCGUAAUAGGUCCAUGAUUAUAGUGAUCAUUGAUGGUAAGCUGGUAAGAUAUUUUAUUAUCAAAUUGUUACACCCAAUGCAAGCAACAUCAGGUACUAUUACCAUGUAUUGUGCUCCUAUUUACUGUGGGUGAAACUGAUCAACAAGUACGUAACUUCCAGAGCUUUUUAAGAUUGAAAAAUUAAGGUUAUGCAUAUAAGUUCUUCUCACUUCACUGGAAAUGUAUUUGGCCUGAUAUGGAAACUUUUCCUAGUCAUUUGUUACUUAGAAUUAAAGCCACAAUAUAUCCUGCAGCUUCUCUCUUUCUUUCUCUUUCUCUCUCUCUCUGUAUACAUGUAGGCUUACUAAUACAACUGCCUUGUUGAUUAAUAACUUGAGAGCAAUAUUUAUAGGCUUUUGUGGUGCAAUGUUUUUUUUCUUUCUGAAUUGCCAAUUAUUCCUGGCAUACAGGAUGUAAAUUUUCCUAAAUAUCUCUGCGCAAGACCCAAAGUUUUUCUAUCUUUGUUGCAAUUAUGAUCAAACUGUAAUUCAUUUAUGGAAGUAUUUAUAAAUGAUCUAUAAAUCCAGUCUUUUGAUUUCAUUAAAAAUAGGAAGUGUUCAUAAGGAUAAGCUGUUAGGAAAUAUAUUCACAAGUUUAAUGCGAUUCAUGUCAAGUAUAAUAUGUCAGUUAUGCACAGUUAAUGAUAAUAUCUGAAAACUGUUCAAGAAAUGAUCACCACUAGUGAAUAAAUCAAUAAAUAAUCCUACGCUGUACGUCACUGCUUUUAUUUUCUCACAUUUCAGUAAUUGUAAUGGGAAAGAGUAAUUUUACAUCAUGUUCACAAUAAAGACAUUUAUAAAACUUUGAAUCACCCUCAUGCCAAAUUUAGUAUUCAGAAUCCAUUGAAAUUUGAUAACCACCAUUAUCUUGAAAUGACACACUGUACUUUCUCAUUAUUCAAUAGGAAGUUUUUCUUUGUAAACAUAACAUAUAUUUCAAAUGAAUUUGUAAUGUCUCUAACAAUGUGAUAUGAUGAUAAUUAGAUUGUAUUCAAAAUUCAUGUUCAUGGCCACUUGUCUAUUUACAAUAAUUCACAUUAGAUUUUAGACUUACUAUAAUAAACAGGAUUGCUCACUGUGUCUUCUUAAUUUUCAUGACUUUUACAAAUAGCUGUUGAGACAAUUUAACAACUUCCAAAUAUUUUGGCAUGCUUUGAAAGUAAUGCAUAAUACCCUAACAGCUUGAAAUAAAGUCCCCAACUUUUAAUUUCUGUUUAAAAUCAUAUGAUCAUGAGUCAUAUGAUGAGAGGGCUUUCAGGUGGGAAAUUAAUUGUGCUUAACAAACAUUAGAACCCAUUAUUUGAAGAAGAAAUCACAGAUUUUAUUUUAUUAACAUAUAAUUGCUUAAAUCAAAUUAUGACAUGCUAAUUAUGAUGCAGGUUUUUUAUGACUAAAGCUGCGAACAAGUGACAUUUAAAUAACCCUUUUUUCAAACUUGUCGCCAGAUUUUACUUAUACAUCAGCUUGAGGAACUGAAAUGAACGCAUGUGGCACUAUACAAGUACAACGAGCAAUUCUCCUUGUGCAUUGUGAUGAAGACAGUGUCGAGUGUGUGCAGCAAUCUCGAAAUCAACAAGUCACAAAAAUUAUGAACACAAAAAUACCACCAUAUAAAGAACACAAACAUACCACCAUAUAAAGUACUUUAAUUUUGGUUGAAGAUCAUCAUCUGAGGACUUCAACUCUCAGGAGGUCAUCAAAGUAUCACACCUUCUUUAAUAUAAUAUAUUCAUUCAGGUUCUACAUGUAUAUGAUUCAUCUAAUUUCAUCAUUGGAAAGGAAGGUCAUGCUUGCUCCUCCCUUGGACUCGUAUUUCACUUGUCACCUUUUGAAAAGGCUUCAACCUAUUACAAUAAUCAGCUUACAUUCCCUACAAUCCCUGAUUUGUAUAAGAUAAUUAGAUAACUUAUGUAUAUUGCAUUAUGCUACACCUUCUUUAUGUUCAAUUUCAAUUCGUCAUUUCUCUUUGUAUAUAGAGGUAUAUCUUUAUAAUAAUUGGAAAUAUAUGUAUUGAUGUAUUACUGAUUUAUACGACAUACAGUUAUGAAUGUUUUUGUUUAUGUUAUCAUUGUAUAUAUUUUAAAACAAAAUAUUCAUGCCAUAUGAAUGAAGUUUGUUAAUAAAUUCAAAUUCAAAUUCAAUCCCAAAUAAAGAAAAACCUUAGGAAAAUAUAUUAAAACAUUAUAUAAAUCUAUACUGACUUGAUUUGAAUAAAAUGAUAUUGACCAGAGAAAUACAUGACACCAUCCCUCUCUGUCAGAUUAAAAAAUAAUAAUGCAAGCAGUAAACGACUUCCCUUUUUCUGACUAGUACUAUUUUUUCACAAUUUUUCUUCUUUUAUUAGAUUAGAAAAAUAAAACCAACUUGAAAUUAGGGUUAAAAACUUUAAUUUAAAAAGGAGUCAUAUUGCUUUAAUGUUUUCAUAUCCUGAAAUGAAUAAAAAAAUCAGUUGCAGCACUAAAAUUCCUGAAAAAAUAGAUAUUGCAUAUGUAUGUCUUUUCUUAAAAAUAAUUAUGCAAUCACAUUGUUAACAAGUAAUCAAAGUAGAUUACAACAAAAAUAAAAUAAAGCACUAAAAUGACUUGCUUGUUUUCUUUGCAAGACUACAAGUUUAUUUAUUAAAUCAUUUUGGAGUAUGUGAGUUUAUAAUAAGAUGGAAACUAAAACUCUUCUAAAUUGCUCUUGCCUACUGCCAUAAUUAUUACAUGUAUGCACUGGUUUACGAGGAAAGUUUGAUAAGCAAAAUCCACUCCAAUAAUUAGGUAGCUAAAUUAAGGACAACUCCAUGCAGAAAUUUUAUCACAAAUUGUCUCUUGCAUAAGAACAGGCCUACUUGAUUUGCUUAUGGUUAGAGAAUAUAUUCCUAAUUUCAUAAACCUGUGGUAGAUUCCCAAGUACUGUUCUGAUGUAAUCUGACUGUAGAUUGUACUAUUGAAACCAAAGGAAAGACUAAAUGAUUAUAGGUCAAUGGUUCUUCAAUGCCAAUAUACUGCUUUCAGGUACUUGUUUUAUAAUUACUUUAUGUUUUUUUAGAUGGAAUUGAGAAGGUUGAUUUAUUGAAAAGCAAACUCAUUUUGUCCUUU